UGGCCGCCCGCCCGCGGCCGCCGCCUCCGCCCGGCGCCGCUCCGGCCCCCGUGUUAUUGUUGUUGCUGUUCCGGGUCUUGUUGGCGCCGCCGCCGCGGGCCCCGGCCCGCUCAUCCUCGCGCAGCUUCUUCAGCUUCUUCAGGUCUCAAAUUCAGCCUAAGAACUUCGGAGAGGCCGCGUGUGCACCUUUGGCGGGUCCUUCCCGAUGCGCUUGGUGGAAGCGAACCUUUCUCUGUCGGAAGUCCCGGCCAUCAGGACAUCUCGGCUGUGAGGAGACACAGCCUCUCAUACAUCUGAGAAGACAUAAGCUGCUCUAGGGGAGGCUUAGGUUGGACAUUUGGAGUAAUCUCUUCACAGAAAGAGUGAUUGGGCAUUGGAAUGGGUUGUCCAGGGAGGUGGUGGAGUCACCUUCCGUGGAGGUGUUUAAGGAAAAACUGGAUGUGGCCCUUAGUGCCGUGGUCUAAUUGACGUGGUGGUGUUUGCUCAUAGGUUGGACUCGAUGGCCGCAGAGGUCUUUUUCAACCUAAUUGAUUCUGUGUGAUUCUGUGUAUGAUUAAGUUUGUAAUUACCUGGGUGUAUUUUGUGCUUUUCUUUUGGAAAAUACAGUCAUUCAUAUAUAUUGCAGUUGAAACUGCUGAACUGUA